ACCUAAGAGAUUAGGCGUUCCUUUCGGGGACGGAAUGACAGGUGGUGCAUGGUUGUCGUCAGUUCGUGUCGUGAGAUGUUGGGUUAAGUCCCGCAACGAGCGCAACCCUUAUUGUCAGUUGCCAGCAUUUAGUUGGGCACUCUGGCGAGACUGCCGGUGACAAACCGGAGGAAGGCGGGGAUGACGUCAAAUCAUCAUGCCCCUUAUGACCUGGGCUACACACGUGCUACAAUGGGUGGUACAACGAGCAGCGAGACCGCGAGGUCAAGCGAAUCUCUAAAAACCAUCCUCAGUUCGGAUUGCAGGCUGCAACUCGCCUGCAUGAAGCUGGAAUCGCUAGUAAUCGCGGAUCAGCACGCCGCGGUGAAUACGUUCCCGGGUCUUGUACACACCGA
rnacentral:rRNA from 1 species